CCUCAGACACAGUGUGAAAAUACUGCACUUUUAUUCAAACCAGCCAUUGUUUAAUUGUGUUGUUUUUAUCAGCAAAUUGCUCUCUUUUAAAAUUUCCCACAUGUGACAAGUCACGUAAUGCAUUACUUCAGGCAGCAUCUUUCAUGUUGCAUUACAGUGAGACAAAUUUAACAUGAUUUGAUGCUUGCAACCUGCUUCAAACAUGGCAUGUGAAAGAUUUGAGAGAUGCAUCUUUCAGGGGAAAGACAGAUUUUAGACUUCUCUUCCCUUUUAUUUAAAUCUUCCUUCCUUUUUAAUUUUAAACUGAAGCUAAUUAGAGUUAAUCAAUGCAAUUAUUUUUUCAUAUUUGAGAAAAUUCUGUCCACUUCCAGUUGUUUGCUUGUUUUCUGCUUAAUACUUUCCCAGCUUUCUAACUGAAAGGAAGAACUUCUUGCUGAUUAGCAGGAAAAUGUUUGUGAACAAUGCAGCAAUUAGACUGGAGAAAGAAUGAAUAUCAGUUCUCUGAUAACAGAAGAAACAAUUCUACUAUUGACAGAUAAACAUUUAUAUGGCUGAAUACCACACGAUCAACCUCUAAUAUUCAGACUUCUUUAAAUUCUCUGCUUCAAAGAAAUCUUUCUGAAGACCUGUUUUCCUGAAACAUUUCUGAGCACAUACUAGUUUCUCUCAUGCCCUGUAUGCAAGCACCAGUCCUCUUUGCCUUGGGAAAUGACCACACAAAUUGCAGUCAAGAUUGUCCUAAAGUCCUGCCAGAAGCGAGCCAAAGAGAAGACUCCAAUUACCUCACCUAUGAAAAUUUCUUCUCCAGCAUAUAGUUGGAAGAUCAUGCCUGGCUGUAAAGAAAACUCUACAAAGUAUUUCUUACUGAAGAGAGAACAUCUUUUCCACUUUACCAUCGCUUUCUUUUACUUUUGUCUACUUCCAUGUUUUAUAUAAAGGUUCCUGGGAUAAAAGGCAUACAGUUUAGACUUCUUUGAAACUUCGGAUAAUGUUUAUAUCAGUCUUUAAACAUAAUGAUCUCCACUCACAAAUCCUAUAGAGGAUAUAAGCUGAAAAAUUAACCUCUCAGGCAAAAAGAGAUGUGGAAAUGCAUAGGAAAUGUUGAAUGUGUACACAGACUACUUUGUAACGCAGAUCCUAGUCAUUGCUGAUGGCUCUUA
ensembl:lncRNA